rnacentral:tRNA from 1 species
GCAGUCAUGGCCGAGUGUUUAAGGCGAUGGACUAGAAAUCCAUUGGGGUCUCCCCGCACAGGUUCGAAUCCUGUCGACUGCG